GAUUGCUGAGAUCCUCAAAGAUCGAACUGCUUGGUUUCAGGACUGCUGAAACGUCUAAGUUUUCACAAUGUUUUUUGUAGGAAAUGGUGGUACAAUUGAGCUUUUAUAUACACAAGUGAGUACCUUCUCUUUAAUCUUUAUGUAGGCUUUUGAUUGGAUUAGCUUCAGUACUAAGGGGAUCAAUUAAAUCAUUUAUUUCGGAUAUAUGCUCCUACCACUCUGCCUCCUGCAUAUGAUUUUCGGACGCUCAGAUACACAGCCACCCUAGACAAUGGUAGCAUUGUGGUAAACAAUCCUUCACAUUAGUGUGAGCGACCUGGGCACUUUUAUACUUAGUUCUGAUAUUCCACAUUUAACUAGUCUUUAAACAUCUCAAUCCUUGGAUUGAAUAGGAGUCUAGAAUGUAAUAUGUUUGGGUCAUAUUUAACUAAAUGCUGCAUUAUAAUUUCCAUAUACACCUUUAAGGAUCUCGCUACUUCAGUAUGACACUUUGCUCUAUUGUUUGUGAUUCUUAGUAGUGAAUUCUAUUAGUUGUGCCAUCUCAUAUAUGUUGCUGAUAUUUUCUUUUAAUAAAUAAG
rnacentral:lncRNA from 1 species